rnacentral:rRNA from 1 species
GAUGAACGCUGGCGGCGUGCCUAAUACAUGCAAGUCGAGCGAACAGACGAGGAGCUUGCUCCUUUGACGUUAGCGGCGGACGGGUGAGUAACACGUGGGUAACCUACCUAUAAGACUGGGAUAACUUCGGGAAACCGGAGCUAAUACCGGAUAAUAUUUCGAACCGCAUGGUUCGAUAGUGAAAGAUGGCUUUGCUAUCACUUAUAGAUGGACCUGCGCCGUAUUAGCUAGUUGGUAAGGUAACGGCUUACCAAGGCAACGAUACGUAGCCGACCUGAGAGGGUGAUCGGCCACACUGGAACUGAGACACGGUCCAGACUCCUACGGGAGGCAGCAGUAGGGAAUCUUCCGCAAUGGGCGAAAGCCUGACGGAGCAACGCCGCGUGAGUGAUGAAGGUCUUCGGAUCGUAAAACUCUGUUAUUAGGGAAGAACAAACGUGUAAGUAACUGUGCACGUCUUGACGGUACCUAAUCAGAAAGCCACGGCUAACUACGU